rnacentral:snoRNA from 1 species
UUGGAGGCUGUGAUGCGUCAUGAUAAGGGAUUUUCUGAGGGACGGAGGCUGCCAGGCUUACGCCCUGCUGAUUGAGAGAAACCAAUGGAUCCUUCUGAGCCUUGUCC